UAACGCGUGAGGAACCUGCCUUUCNGAGGGGGACAACAGUUGGAAACGACUGCUAAUACCGCAUGACGCAUUUGAUCACAUGGUCGAAAUGCCAAAGAUUUAUCGCUGAAAGAUGGCCUCGCGUCUGAUUAGAUAGUUGGCGGGGUAACGGCCCACCAAGUCGACGAUCAGUAGCCGGACUGAGAGGUUGACCGGCCACAUUGGGACUGAGAUACGGCCCAGACUCCUACGGGAGGCAGCAGUGGGGAAUAUUGGGCAAUGGGCGCAAGCCUGACCCAGCAACGCCGCGUGAAGGAAGAAGGCUUUCGGGUUGUAAACUUCUUUUAAGUGGGAAGAGCAGAAGACGGUACCACUUGAAUAAGCCACGGCUAACUACGUGCCAGCAGCCGCGGUAAUACGUAGGUGGCAAGCGUUGUCCGGAUUUACUGGGUGUAAAGGGCGUGCAGCCGGGCAUGCAAGUCAGAUGUGAAAUCUCAGGGCUUAACCCUGAAACUGCAUUUGAAACUGUAUGUCUUGAGUGCCGGAGAGGUAAUCGGAAUUCCUUGUGUAGCGGUGAAAUGCGUAGAUAUAAGGAAGAACACCAGUGGCGAAGGCGGAUUACUGGACGGUAACUGACGGUGAGGCGCGAAAGCGUGGGGAGCGAACAGGAUUAGAUACCCUGGUAGUCCACGCUGUAAACGAUGGAUACUAGGUGU
rnacentral:rRNA from 1 species